CGGGACACGUGGUAUCCUGUCUGAAUAUGGGGGGACCAUCCUCCAAGGCUAAAUACUCCUGACUGACCGAUAGUGAACCAGUACCGUGAGGGAAAGGCGAAAAGAACCCCGGCGAGGGGAGUGAAAAAGAACCUGAAACCGUGUACGUACAAGCAGUGGGAGCACAGAGCAAUCUGUGUGACUGCGUACCUUUUGUAUAAUGGGUCAGCGACUUAUAUUCUGUAGCAAGGUUAACCGAAUAGGGGAGCCGAAGGGAAACCGAGUCUUAACUGGGCGUUAAGUUGCAGGGUAUAGACCCGAAACCCGGUGAUCUAGCCAUGGGCAGGUUGAAGGUUGGGUAACACUAACUGGAGGACCGAACCGACUAAUGUUGAAAAAUUAGCGGAUGACUUGUGGCUGGGGGUGAAAGGCCAAUCAAACCGGGAGAUAGCUGGUUCUCCCCGAAAGCUAUUUAGGUAGCGCCUCGUGAAUUCAUCUCCGGGGGUAGAGCACUGUUUCGGCAAGGGGGUCAUCCCGACUUACCAACCCGAUGCAAACUGCGAAUACCGGAGAAUGUUAUCACGGGAGACACACGGCGGGUGCUAACGUCCGUCGUGAAGAGGGAAACAACCCAGACCGCCAGCUAAGGUCCCAAAGUCAUGGUUAAGUGGGAAACGAUGUGGGAAGGCCCAGACAGCCAGGAUGUUGGCUUAGAAGCAGCCAUCAUUUAAAGAAAGCGUAAUAGCUCACUGGUCGAGUCGGCCUGCGCGGAAGAUGUAACGGGGCUAAACCAUGCACCGAAGCUGCGGCAGCGACACUAUGUGUUGUUGGGUAGGGGAGCGUUCUGUAAGCCUGUGAAGGUGUGCUGUGAGGCAUGCUGGAGGUAUCAGAAGUGCGAAUGCUGACAUAAGUAACGAUAAAGCGGGUGAAAAGCCCGCUCGCCGGAAGACCAAGGGUUCCUGUCCAACGUUAAUCGGGGCAGGGUGAGUCGACCCCUAAGGCGAGGCCGAAAGGCGUAGUCGAUGGGAAACAGGUUAAUAUUCCUGUACUUGGUGUUACUGCGAAGGGGGGACGGAGAAGGCUAUGUUGGCCGGGCGACGGUUGUCCCGGUUUAAGCGUGUAGGCUGGUUUUCCAGGCAAAUCCGGAAAAUCAAGGCUGAGGCGUGAUGACGAGGCACUACGGUGCUGAAGCAACAAAUGCCCUGCUUCCAGGAAAAGCCUCUAAGCAUCAGGUAACAUCAAAUCGUACCCCAAACCGACACAGGUGGUCAGGUAGAGAAUACCAAGGCGCUUGAGAGAACUCGGGUGAAGGAACUAGGCAAAAUGGUGCCGUAACUUCGGGAGAAGGCACGCUGAUAUGUAGGUGAAGCGACUUGCUCGUGGAGCUGAAAUCAGUCGAAGAUACCAGCUGGCUGCAACUGUUUAUUAAAAACACAGCACUGUGCAAACACGAAAGUGGACGUAUACGGUGUGACGCCUGCCCGGUGC
rnacentral:rRNA from 1 species